AGCAGCCGCGGUAAUUCCAGCUCCAAUAGCGUAUAUUAAAGUUGUUGCAGUUAAAAAGCUCGUAGUUGAAUUUCGGGAUCAAUAUUUCGGUCAUGCCGUUGGUAUGCACUGUUAUCAUUGAUUUCUCACCUUCUAAAGAACCGUAAUGCCAUUAAUUUGGUGUUACGGGGAAUUAGGACUGUUACCUUGAAAAAAUUAGAGUGUUUAAAGCAAGCUCACGCUUGAAUACAUUAGCAUGGAAUAAUGAAAUAGGACAUCCGAUUCUAUUUUGUUGGUUUCUAGGAUCGAUGUAAUGAUUAAUAGGGAUAGUUGGGGGCAUUAGUAUUCAAUUGUCAGAGGUGAAAUUCUUGGAUUUAUUGAAGACUAACUACUGCGAAAGCAUUUGCCAAGGAUGUUUUCAUUAAUUAAGAACGAAAGUUAGGGGAUCGAAGACGAUCAGAUACCGUCGUAGUCUUAACCAUAAACUAUGCCGACUAGGGAUCGGAUGAUGUUAAUUUUUAAUGACUCAUUCGGCGUCCG
rnacentral:rRNA from 1 species